rnacentral:rRNA from 1 species
ACUUAAAUUGAAGAGUUUGAUCAUGGCUCAGAUUGAACGCUGGCGGCAGGCCUAACACAUGCAAGUCGAGCGGUAGCACAGAGAGCUUGCUCUCGGGUGACGAGCGGCGGACGGGUGAGUAAUGUCUGGGAAACUGCCUGAUGGAGGGGGAUAACUACUGGAAACGGUAGCUAAUACCGCAUAACGUCGCAAGACCAAAGUGGGGGACCUUCGGGCCUCAUGCCAUCAGAUGUGCCCAGAUGGGAUUAGCUAGUAGGUGGGGUAAUGGCUCACCUAGGCGACGAUCCCUAGCUGGUCUGAGAGGAUGACCAGCCACACUGGAACUGAGACACGGUCCAGACUCCUACGGGAGGCAGCAGUGGGGAAUAUUGCACAAUGGGCGCAAGCCUGAUGCAGCCAUGCCGCGUGUGUGAAGAAGGCCUUCGGGUUGUAAAGCACUUUCAGCGGGGAGGAAGGCGGUGAGGUUAAUAACCUCAUCGAUUGACGUUACCCGCAGAAGAAGCACCGGCUAACUCCGUGCCAGCAGCCGCGGUAAUACGGAGGGUGCAAGCGUUAAUCGGAAUUACUGGGCGUAAAGCGCACGCAGGCGGUCUGUCAAGUCGGAUGUGAAAUCCCCGGGCUCAACCUGGGAACUGCAUUCGAAACUGGCAGGCUAGAGUCUUGUAGAGGGGGGUAGAAUUCCAGGUGUAGCGGUGAAAUGCGUAGAGAUCUGGAGGAAUACCGGUGGCGAAGGCGGCCCCCUGGACAAAGACUGACGCUCAGGUGCGAAAGCGUGGGGAGCAAACAGGAUUAGAUACCCUGGUAGUCCACGCCGUAAACGAUGUCGAUUUGGAGGUUGUGCCCUUGAGGCGUGGCUUCCGGAGCUAACGCGUUAAAUCGACCGCCUGGGGAGUACGGCCGCAAGGUUAAAACUCAAAUGAAUUGACGGGGGCCCGCACAAGCGGUGGAGCAUGUGGUUUAAUUCGAUGCAACGCGAAGAACCUUACCUGGUCUUGACAUCCACAGAACUUAGCAGAGAUGCUUUGGUGCCUUCGGGAACUGUGAGACAGGUGCUGCAUGGCUGUCGUCAGCUCGUGUUGUGAAAUGUUGGGUUAAGUCCCGCAACGAGCGCAACCCUUAUCCUUUGUUGCCAGCGGUCCGGCCGGGAACUCAAAGGAGACUGCCAGUGAUAAACUGGAGGAAGGUGGGGAUGACGUCAAGUCAUCAUGGCCCUUACGACCAGGGCUACACACGUGCUACAAUGGCAUAUACAAAGAGAAGCGACCUCGCGAGAGCAAGCGGACCUCAUAAAGUAUGUCGUAGUCCGGAUUGGAGUCUGCAACUCGACUCCAUGAAGUCGGAAUCGCUAGUAAUCGUAGAUCAGAAUGCUACGGUGAAUACGUUCCCGGGCCUUGUACACACCGCCCGUCACACCAUGGGAGUGGGUUGCAAAAGAAGUAGGUAGCUUAACCUUCGGGAGGGCGCUUACCACUUUGUGAUUCAUGACUGGGGUGAAGUCGUAACAAGGUAACCGUAGGGGAACCUGCGGUUGGAUCACCUCCUUACCUUAAAGAA